AACGAACGCUGGCGGCAUGCUUAACACAUGCAAGUCGAACGGGACGUUCGGGCCUAGUUGCGCUGGUGGGGGUAACACGUGGGAAGUUGCCCGUAGGUUCGGUAUAAUUCCCUGAGAGGUGAGCUAAUGCCGGUUAAUGUCAUCGGGGAUAAGAUUUCUUGCUUUGGGAUGGGCGCGGGUUGGUUUAGCUGGUUGGUAGGGUAAUAGCCUAUCAACGCGACGUUGCAUAGCUGGUCUGAGAGGAUGCUCAGCCACACUGGAAAUGAGACACGGCCUAGACUCGUACGCAAGGGAGCAGUGGAGAAUACUAGAGAAUGAGCGAAAGCCUGAUCCAGCAAUGCCGCGGAAGUGAUGAAGGCCGUAGGGAUGUAAAUCUGUUUUAGACGGGACGAUAGUGACAGUACCGGGAGAAUAAGCACCGGCUAACUACGUG
rnacentral:rRNA from 1 species